AUGGCCGGCGACAGCUCUCCAACCGAGUCGCCUCCGGCGAAAUUGCCAACCGCAUCUAACCCCACCUACAUAGACCGCAUCGACGAGGACAUCCUGCGUGAGAUCUUCCUUCUCCUUCCGUCCCUCGCGGCGCUCGUCCGCGCCGCCUGCACCUGCCGCGCGUGGCGCAGCGCGGUGGCCUCCGCCCCUGCCUUCCGCCGCCGAUUUCGCGAAGUCCACCGGGCGCCCCUCAUUGGCCUCUUCUUCCAGGUUCCCCCGCCCUCCCAAACACCUAACCUUCCCGCCUUCCCCGCCUUCUUCCCCGCCCGCCGCCGCGACCGUGACCUGGUCGCCGCCAUCCGCUGCGGCGACUUCUUCCUCACCUCCAUCCAGGAGCGCCCCGACGAAUCCCUCUGCUGGGACAUCAUCGAUUCUCGCCACGGCUACAUCCUCCUCAUGAAUUGGGACGAGGGUUUGCUCUGCUUGUUCAACCCCCUGCUGCGGUGGAGCAAAACUUUCGAUCUGGGCCCUAUGGACCUCUUUUACGGCAGUAAGGGCGCCUACGCGCAACUGGACCCCCAGUUGGUCUACUCCGACGAGAACCCAAUGUCGUUCAGGGUGGUGAUGCUUUGCACUGACAGGUCCAGAGUGCCGGCUGCGGUCCUCUCCUCCGAGACCUGGGAAUGGUCUGUCCUUCCAUGGGUGGAAGUUCCGGCCAGGCCAGCCAAGGAAAAAUUGUGGCUUCAAGAUGAGUGUAGCAUGCAGGCGAAUGGAUUCCUGUACUGCGUUUACACGAAUCAGAAGUUUAUGAUUACUCUAGACGCCAAAACAAUGGAAUUCUCUGUUGCUGAGCUCCCCCAGUGUCUGCAGAACCCGCGCUGCCACUUUGUUCUAGCUGAAGCAAAUCAUUCCAGGCCCUGUAUUGUUUAUGCCAGUGACUUCAGCAUAGGUGUGUUGCUUUGUGAACCAGAGGGUGACAAUGCUGGGAGCUGGUAUCUGGACAAGGUGUUUGAUAUGCACGCACCUCUUACGCAGAUCCUUGAGGCCAUACCACAAGAGGUGAAUGUUGUGGCGAUCAUGGAUGGCUUUGCUUACUUGGCAACAGUGAUGGAUGAUGAGCCCCAGAACUCGCCUUGGCUCCUCUCCCUGUGCUUAGAAACAAUGGAGCUGGUUAAGCUGUUUCGGGUGGCGUUUGAUGCUGGUGUUCAUCCCUACGUCCUGGCCUGGCCUUCUGCUUUAGUAGGUAACUAUGGGGCGUUUGCAUUGGGUAAUUCUCCAUGA
rnacentral:rRNA from 1 species